CACGUAGGGUGCGAGCGUUGUCCGGAAUUAUUGGGCGUAAAGAGCUCGUAGGCGGUGUGUCGCGUCGGCCGUGAAAACCUGCAGCUUAACUGUGGGCGUGCGGGCGAUACGGGCAGACUGGAGUACUGCAGGGGAGACUGGAAUUCCUGGUGUAGCGGUGGAAUGCGCAGAUAUCAGGAGGAACACCGGUGGCGAAGGCGGGUCUCUGGGCAGUAACUGACGCUGAGGAGCGAAAGCGUGGGGAGCGAACAGG
rnacentral:rRNA from 1 species